UCCUCCACCAUUUCCUUCGAUUAAUUCAUCUCUGUAAGAACUUCUCGCUUAAUCUCCCUCUGAAUCUCUGAUUCCUCAAUCAUCCUAACAUCAUAUAGUCACAUAAAUUUCCCAGCACACACAAAAAAAAAAAUGCGUCGAAGCUUCUCUAUCAUAGGCCCUACCAAAUGGCUCAAACACUCCUCUCCUUACAGCAACACAGUCUUCUCCUUCUCCUUGACCAAUCCCAAACCCAACACCUCUCCACCAACUCUCCUCCGCUCCCUCUCCUACUUCUCCCCUCACCAACGCCAACAACCCCCAGAUCCCGACGACCCAACCAACCUCCUCAAAGAAGACGGAGUCUCCCUCUGCUCCCACAUGUGGCUCGAAAACUUCAAAAACCCACACAAAACCUCCACCAACCUCACCUCCUACCUCCGCCGCUUCGAGCUCUGGGUCCUCGCCUACCAGAAAGUCUCCUGCGACGAGCUCGGCGCCUACGUCCCACGCAGCUCCAUCCAGCGAUCCGCCCUAGAGAAUCUCCUAGCCCUCAGAAACUCCGUCCUCGACGACCGGUUCAAAUGGGGAGCUCGCCUCGACUUCUACAUCAAAUCCCCUCGUGACAAGACCGACUACGAGUCUCUAUCCAAGCGCAAGAUCAAAGCCAUCUUAACCACCACGCAGCCUACUCCGUUCCAGGACAGGAUAGUUCAAGAAGUGCUGCUGAUGAUUCUCGAACCGGUUUACGAGUCCCGGUUCUCUCAGAAGUCCUUCGCGUUUCGCCCCGGGAGGACGGCGCAUACUGUUUUGAGAGUGAUUCGUAGGAACUUCGCUGGCUACUUGUGGUAUGUGAAAGGGGACUUGAGUGUGGUUUUGGAUGGGAUGAAAGUUGGGUUUGUGGUUAGUUCUCUGAUGAGAGACGUUAGAGAUAAGAAAGUCAUCGACUUGAUUAAAUCCGCGUUGGUUACUCCCGUUGUAACAACGACUAAGGUCGAUGGAGAGGAGAAGAAGAAGACUAAGAAGAGAAAGUAUCAGAAGAAACGCGUCUUGGCUGAUGAUGAGCCCAAGCCUGACCCUUACUGGUUAGAGACUUUCUUCGGUUUUGCACCUGAAGAAGCUAACAAGUCUCCUCAGUGGGGACAUUGUGGGAUACUGAGUCCUCUUCUUGUUAACGUAUGUCUCGACGAGCUUGACCGUUACAUGGAGGCAAAAGUUAAAGACUUUUACCGUCCUUCGAAAAGCGACGUUAUAUGGAACAGCCCCGAAGGAGAAGGUAAUGAUCAAGGGAACACUUCGUGGCCUGAGUUCGUCCCCACGAGCGGUCCUGACAAGACGAGGAAAAUGGAUUACGUUAGGUACGGUGGCCAUAUACUGAUAGGAGUCCGUGGACCGCGAGCUGAUGCCGCGACGUUGAGGAAAGAGCUGAUUGAGUUUGUUGAUCAGAAGUAUAUGCUGAGGCUGGAUAAUGAGAAUCUCCCUAUAGAGCAUAUAACCAAAGGUAUCAUGUUUCUUGAUCAUGUUCUGUGUCGUCGCGUUGUGUAUCCGACUUUGAGGUAUACCGCUACGGGAGGGAAGAUCAUAAGCGAGAAAGGUGUCGGGACGCUUUUGUCCGUUACAGCGAGUUUGAAGCAGUGUAUCAAACAGUUUAGGAAGCUGAACUUUAUAAAAGGAGACCGUGAUCCUGAUCCUCAGCCUUGUUUCAGAAUGUUCCACGCUACUCAAGCUCAUACCAACGCGCAGAUGAAUAAGUUUCUGACUACAGUUGCUGAGUGGUACCGGUUUGCUGAUAACCGGAAGAAGAUUGUGAAUUUUUGCUCUUAUAUCGUCCGUGGCUCGCUCGCUAAGCUUUAUGCUGCAAAGUAUAAGCUUAGGUCACGAGCCAAAGUGUAUAAAGGAGCUUCUAGGAAUCUGAGCCGUCCAUUGAAGGAGAAGAAAGGUUUGUCUCCGGAGUAUAACAAUCUGUUGAGAAUGGGACUUGCUGAGUCUAUUGAUGGGCUUGUUUACACGAGAAUGUCUCUUGUUCCUGAGACUGAUUACUCGCCUUUUCCGGCUAACUGGAGGCCGGAGCACGAGAAGUUUCUGAUGGAGUACUUAACGCUAGAUGAACCGAAGACUUUGGAGGAGCAGAAGAGGUUUAUCAGAGAGAAUGGGCUAGUUUCUCCUCAGGACUACACGUCGAUGUUGGUGUGGAACUAUAAGAGAAAUGCUAUUCCCAUGGAUCAGGUUUCGAUUCUUAAGGAUCAACCUUUCUUGUUGGGGUCAUCAAGUAACUACAACCGUGACAAUGAUGAUGAUGAUGAUGAUGAAGAGAAGAGUAAAGAAGAAGAUGAUGAAGAUAACGACGAUGGGCUUCACAUUGCACGCAUAUAACUGAUUGGCUAUAGAGGCUACGAGCAUUGCUUCUACAGUGAUAUUACUCUAUAAGGAAUAAGAAUCAUCUGAGUCAAAAACUCGUUAUCUCUUGUAAACGGAGAUAUCCGAGGCGGGUCUCUUGUUUCGAAUCUAGUUUCGCAAAAUCUCGUCGCAUUCAGUGCAGAACUCAUAACGAAGAUUGCUGUUUUGUAAUCACGCACUCUAACGCUUGUCACAGCUUCCUUCAAGGUCACAG